ensembl:snRNA U2 U2 spliceosomal RNA
AGCUGUUUUCUAAUAAAAAAAAUAAUAAAAAAAUCUGUUCUUAUCAGUUUAAUAUCUGAUACGUCCCCCAACGGGGGACCACAUAUUAAACGGAUUUUUGGAGCUUGCUCCGUCCUCUCCACGCAUCGGCCCGGUAUUGCAGCGCCUCCGGGAAUGGUGCACUACCU